UAUGGCCCCACUCUCACAUUGAUUCAAAAACCUUUCUUUCAAUUUGGGGUCAUGGAGACACGUUUAUGUCUAUAUAAUAUAUAUAAUUAAUGAUAGUUGUUUUCCUUUGAAUACAAUAGAUUCUAGGUAGAUUAGAAAUAGAAAAAUAGAUCAGAAAGAAUAUCAAAAGAAUAUAACUUGGCAGGGAAUUUCACCCAUCUAUAUAGAAUAUCUUUAGAUUUUAAUUAAAUUUUGCUUAAUUAGAUCAGAAGAAUUAUAGGGAAUAAUGGGUUUGAGUCAGAUUAAGUGUUGUUUGGUUCUGGUUCUAUUUCUUUUCCUUUUCACGGGUCUCUCGGCAUCCACUUUCAUUUCAGAUGGUAUCUUCGGAUCCCCAGAUUCAGCUAAUAGAAGGCUCCUUCAAGCAAAGAAACGUAAUUUCUUUAUAUUUUUUAUCGAAUAAAUUCUUUUAGUAUUCCUAACUUUUCUUGAUUUUAUGUUUUCUAUUGUAAGUUUUUAACUGGAAAGAAUUAUUUAUUUGGAGUACGGUUAUUAUGCGACAAUUGUUAAUCUAAUAUUGUGGGUUUCCUCUGUACAAAUGCUUAAAGUAGUGUGGUUGGGAGCUUAAUUUGGAAUAAAUUUAUGAUGAAUUUGCA